rnacentral:rRNA from 1 species
UUAAAGAAAGCGUAAUAGCUCACUGGUCGAGUCGGCCUGCGCGGAAGAUGUAACGGGGCUAAACCAUGCACCGAAGCUGCGGCAGCGACGCUGAUGCGUUGUUGGGUAGGGGAGCGUUCUGUAAGCCUGUGAAGGUGGCCUGUGAGGGUUGCUGGAGGUAUCAGAAGUGCGAAUGCUGACAUAAGUAACGAUAAAGCGGGUGAAAAGCCCGCUCGCCGGA